rnacentral:rRNA from 1 species
GACGAACGCUGGCGGCGGGCUUAACACAUGCAAGUCGAACGGAAAGGCCCUGCUUUGGUGGGGUGCUCGAGUGGCGAACGGGUGAGUAACACGUGAGUAACCUUCCCGUGACUUGGGGAUAACUUCAGGAAACUGGGGCUAAUACGGGAUAGGAGCGCCUGCUGCAUGGUGGGGGUUGGAAAGUUUCGGCGGUUGGGGAUGGACUCGCGGCUUAUCAGCUGGUGGGUGGGGUAGUGGCUUACCAAGGCUGUGACGGGUAGCCGGCCUGGGAGGGUGACCGGCCACAUUGGGGCUGAGCUCCGGCCCAGACUCCUACGGGCGGCAGCAGUGGGGAAUCUUGCACAAUGGGCGGCAGCCUGAUGCAGCAACGCCGCGUGCGGGAUGCCGGCCUUCGGGUUGUAACCCGCUUUCGCCUGUGACGAAGCGUGAGUGACGGUAAUGGGUAACGAGGCACCGGCUAACUACGUGC